GGCGACAUAGCCAAGUGGUAAGGCCGAGGACUGCAAAUCCUCUAUCUUCAGUUCGACUCUGAAUGUCGCCUCCA
rnacentral:tRNA from 1 species